AAAAUGGCUGCCUCACCUACCCCUCCUGUUCCUGCAAAGCCACAACUACUAGUGUCUAGUCUACUGGACCCCGAAACGACGUCUGUACGGGUGUCGAAAUGCAGUUAUGUCAAGUUUACUGAUCCCCAGGGCUACAGAGGAAGCUGCUUUCAUAAAUGGAUGGUUAGUUUUGAGGGGCAAAUAAUCUGUGAGGGCAUCCAGCCAAGUUUCCUGUCUGGCCUUGCUGCUGUGUUUUCGACUUUCUACAUUUGUAAUGUGGAGUACCAAGCUGAGGCUGCAGCCACGUUGGAAUUUAUUAGGGGCGCUUCAUUGGCAUAAAUCCUGAAAAAGGCACCAAGGGUGGACAAGUCCUAUCAGGGAAGGUCGCUCACAAAGAAAUCAUGCAACACUCGGUUGCCAGUCUCCUUAAGAAGCUAAUGGACUUUGAAUGGGACUUCAUAUAAGUGAACCCACUCAUUCACUAACAUACCACACACACCUUACACAUGAACAUUUUAGGUGUUCAUUCCUGAAUACUUAAAUUUUGACUUCAUUCUUCACUGAAUUCUUUCUUCAUUCAGUAAUUCUUAUGUACUAAUGAUUCAGUAAUUCAUAUUCACUCAGUAUUUCUGAGUCACUCAUUUAUUUUCUAAUAUUAAUGUUUUGUUUAUUCAGUGAAACAAAAGUUUAUUCUGAAGCUUACAUUUUAUUCUUUCCACUUGCAUCAGCCACUAAUUUUGAGAAUUUUAAUUUGUGAUUAAAGUGGCUUUUGUUUUUCAAAGUUUUAAUAAAGCACGUU